GUAUGUUCUACGUUCAAGUAUCUAUAAUCUCAGGAAUCUGUAAUUUAGACAAAAUUACCAGUUCCUUGUCUACCUUUGUCCUAAAUCAUAAUGUAUCGGUUAUGCAAGAAAAUUCGUUUGGAGUGUUUCCGGUUAUGAGUUAAAAGAGAACAACACUCCGCUUCGACAGGAACGUAUUCACCAAUACUGAAUAAAGAUGCUGCUUAUCCGGAACCAAAGACGUGGCAAUCAAGGCUAAACCCAGAUAGUAUGUCAACUGUAUGUAUAGUAGGUGCAGAGAAUUGAAGAAGAUAGAGUGUAUUAUUCUAAGGUGAAGAUAACGAACAGUGACCAAUCUCAUAACUCCUAUAAGCAAUACAAAAUAGAGAGUUGGGCAAACACGGACCCCUGGACACACCAGAGGUGGGAUUAGGAGUAAGCAUUCCCCGUCAAUCGGCUACACUCGCCGUGAGCCCCACAUCCCGAUCAGGCAAACGGAGUUAUCCGCAGCCAAAAUCAGUGUGCCAAGAACGGUCCACCAAUCGCUACAUGAUGUUGCACAGAAUAUGUUGUUACUUUGCAUUUUCUGGUCUAGUACUUUACUUCAAAUUCUGAACACCAAAUGUUAAAAUCUAUAAGACUUAGUUCAUAUUAGGAUAUAGAAAUCUAUUGAUUUCCUAGUAAAAUGGUUAAGGGGCCAUAGGCCAUAGUCAGAUUACUGGGGGGGGGGGGGGGGGGGGGGGAUGAUACACUAUAUACAUGUAGGUGUCGAUCUUGUGUCAAUUUACUCUUUAGGAUGAAUUUAUAAGCAUGGAAGCUAUCAUGAUAUGGUCUUGUGAUUAUGAUAACGUUUUCUCUACUUCACAGGGACCAUUUAGACAGAGAUCGCCUCCAAAAAAAAUAUAUUUACCGAAUGCACCAAAUCGACAUGCCAGAGAACAACCCAUCAGGCAACAUGAUGGGUACAGAAUAAAUGACUCUAAACUGUUGCAGCCGCAGAGACUUGGACUAAACUUUGAUUACAUGUCAGAAUCUAAUGUGUAAUAAAAAUACUAGUUAAUUUUGAGCGUGGUAGAAUAAUUACUAAACUAAUAAAAAUGGACAUUCGGAUACUCCUCAUCUGACCAAUAAUAUCAAA